ACGCUGGCGGCGUGCUUAACACAUGCCAGUCGAACGGAAGGGCCCUGCUUUUGUGGGGUGCUCGAGUGGCGAACGGGUGAGUAACACGUGAGUAACCUGCCCUUGACUUUGGGAUAACUUCAGGAAACUGGGGCUAAUACCGGAUAGGAGCUCCUGCUGCAUGGUGGGGGUUGGAAAGUUUCGGCGGUUGGGGAUGGACUCGCGGCUUAUCAGCUUGUUGGUGGGGUGGUGGCUUACCAAGGCUUUGACGGGUAGCCGGCCUGAGAGGGUGACCGGCCACAUUGGGACUGAGAUACGGCCCAGACUCCUACGGGAGGCAGCAGUGGGGAAUAUUGCACAAUGGGCGGAAGCCUGAUGCAGCAACGCCGCGUGCGGGAUGACGGCCUUCGGGUUGUAUACCGCUUUCGCCUGUGACGAAGCGUGAGUGACGGUAAUGGGUAAAGAAGCACCGGCUAACUACGUG
rnacentral:rRNA from 1 species